UACGGAGGGUGCGAGCGUUACCCGGAUUUACUGGGUGUAAAGGGCGUGUAGGCGGUCUCUCAAGUCCGAUGCUAAAGACCGAAGCUCAACUUCGGGGGUGCGUUGGGUACUGUGAGGCUAGACGGUCGGAGAGGGUAGCGGAAUUUCCGGAGUAGCGGUGAAAUGCGCAGAUACCGGAAGGAACGCCAAUAGCGAAGGCAGCUACCUGGACGAUUGGUGACGCUGAGGCGCGAAAGCGUGUGGAGCAAACCGG
rnacentral:rRNA from 1 species